UAUGAUCAUUAUUGUAAGUCGCUUUGGACAAAAGCGUCUGCUAAAUGUAAUGUA
rfam:Astyanax mexicanus Tnplaced_Scaffold_296, whole genome shotgun sequence.